GUGCCAGAGUCUGGAAGGCAGUGUACAGUUAGCUGGCUGCUUGGUGUUUGGACAGCAGCCGCUACGUAUUCCGCCACUUGCCUCGUGGUCU
rnacentral:pre_miRNA from 13 species